rnacentral:rRNA from 1 species
GAUGAACGCUGGCGGCGUGCCUAAUACAUGCAAGUCGAGCGAACAGACGAGGAGCUUGCUCCUUUGACGUUAGCGGCGGACGGGUGAGUAACACGUGGAUAACCUACCUAUAAGACUGGGAUAACUUCGGGAAACCGGAGCUAAUACCGGAUAAUAUAUUGAACCGCAUGGUUCAAUAGUGAAAGACGGUUUUGCUAUCACUUAUAGAUGGAUCCGCGCCGCAUUAGCUAGUUGGUAAGGUAACGGCUUACCAAGGCAACGAUGCGUAGCCGACCUGAGAGGGUGAUCGGCCACACUGGAACUGAGACACGGUCCAGACUCCUACGGGAGGCAGCAGUAGGGAAUCUUCCGCAAUGGGCGAAAGCUUGACGGAGCAACGCCGCGUGAGUGAUGAAGGUCUUCGGAUCGUAAAACUCUGUUAUUAGGGAAGAACAAAUGCGUAAGUAACUAUGCACGUCUUGACGGUACCUAAUCAGAAAGCCACGGCUAACUACGUG